AUGGGAUUUGCACUAAAAGGAAUUUUCAUUUUGACUAUUUUGCAAGGUGUCCAUUGUGACAUUCAGCUGGUGGAGUCUGGGGGAGACGUGAGACAGCCUGGAGGAUCCUUGAAACUCUCCUGCAAAGCUUCUGGAUUCACCUUCAGCAGCUAUUACAUGAAUUGGGUUCGCCAGGCUCCAGGGAAGGGGCUGGAGUGGGUCUCACGUAUUGAUACUGGUGGAAGUAGCACAUACUAUGCAGACUCUGUGAAAGGCCAAUUCACCAUUCCCAGAGAGGAUGGCAACAGCCUGCUGCACCUGCAGAUGAAUUCCCUGAAAGCUGAGGACACAGCCAUGUAUUACUGUGCAAGAGGCACAGUGAGGGAGAGGAGUGAGAGAGCAGACAUAAACCUCCUCCUUCAGAGAGUUCUUGUGGAGAAUGACAGAGAGGGAUAUCAAGAAUGUUCAGCACAAGGAGCCCAGUUACAAUAA